UACAGAGGGUGCAAGCGUUAAUCGGAAUUACUGGGCGUAAAGCGUGCGUAGGUGGUUUACUAAGUCAGGUGUGAAAUCCCCGGGCUCAACCUGGGAACUGCAUCCGAGACUGGAAGGCUAGAGUACUGGAGAGGGUGGUGGAAUUCCUCGUGUAGCGGUGAAAUGCGUAGAGAUGAGGAGGAACACCAGUGGCGAAGGCGGCCACCUGGACAGUAACUGACGCUGAGGCGCGAAAGCGUGGGUAGCAAACAGG
rnacentral:rRNA from 1 species